AACGCUGAUCGGCAGGCCUAACACAUGCAAGUCGAGCGGAUGAAGGGAGCUUGCUCCCUGAUUCAGCGGCGGACGGGUGAGUAAUGCCUAGGAAUCUGCCUGGUAGUGGGGGACAACGUUCCGAAAGGAGCGCUAAUACCGCAUACGUCCUACGGGAGAAAGUGGGGGAUCUUCGGACUCUCACGCUAUCAGAUGAGCCUAGGUCGGAUAUAGCUAGUAGGUGCGGGUAUAUGCGCUCACCUAGGCGACGAUCCGUAACUGCGUCUGAGAGGAUGAUCAGUCACACUGCGGAACUGAGACACGUCCAGACUCCUACGGGAGGCAGCAGUGGGGAAUAUUGGCAAUGGGCGAAAGCCUGAUCCAGCCAUGCCGCGUGUGUGAAGAAGGUCUUCGGAUUGUAAAGCACUUUAAGUUGGGAGGAAGGCAGUAAGUUAUACCUUGCUGUUUGACUUACCAACAGAAUAAGCACGGUAACUCGUGCACAGCGGGGGGAA
rnacentral:rRNA from 1 species